rnacentral:ncRNA from 1 species
UUUAAACCGUUGAUUGAGAGUAGUAUCAUCGGAAGGUCGUUUUAAGAGAGCCGCAGGCGGUGUGAUUGCGGCAGCGGACGUCGGUGUGAAUGGACUCAUGAGGGCAAACUGAGCCGUAAGGUUAGGGGAGACGCAAGACCGUGCGUUAUUCGGUGCGUGUAUGUCAGUACAUUGCAGCUUGAGAGGCGUAAUUUUACGCAAUUUGGGUGGUACCGCAGGAAAUGAUCUCCUGUCCCAUUU